CUGCGUGGAGGAUGAAGGCUCUCGGGUUGUAAACUCCUUUCGGCCGGGAAGAAAUUGACGGCACCUGCAAAGUAACCACCGGCCAACUACGUGCCAAAUGCCGCGGUAAUACGUAGGGUGCAAGCGUUGUCCGGAUUCAUUGGGGGUAAAGAGCUCGUAGGCGGCUGGGCAAGUCAAAUGUGAAACCCUCAGGCUCAACCUGGGGAUGCCAUCUGAUACUGCUAUGGGUAGAGUAUGGUAGGGGAGUACGACAUUCCUGGGGUAGCGGGAAAAUGAAUUUAUAUCAGGAGGAACACCAGUGGCGAAGGCGGAAGGCUGGGCCAUUACUGACGCUGA
rnacentral:rRNA from 1 species